rnacentral:lncRNA from 1 species
GACCCACCUUUGAUUGGUUCAGAUAAAGGCCAAUCAGACUUUUGGGGAAGCUCAUUGGUGCUUUCCUGAAGUUUCCAGCGCUCAGGGAGGACGGGAGAAUGCGGAAUGCCCGGCCAAUCUGAUCGCCGAUUGGCUGCUGUUUCCGCCAUUCAUUUCAGUUUAUGCGCCUGUCACUGCCACGUCACCCCCUCCCAUCACUCUUCUCAUCAUCCUUUUCCGCCCUCAUGGAUUGGUGGUUGGUAUCAGCUGCUCCACCUUUUCUACCAUUUACUGAACGAGUUGAGGAAAAAGGGAAGGAGUCUCGUCUUUACAUCCUUAUUUUCUUUUUUUAUUGGUUGGCAACUAUGCCACUCACGUGGUGGAGAGGCGGGGCAAUAGUUGGAGAUGAUUGGUUCUGAGAAUUGGCUGUGAAAGCGGCAUUGCUGACCAGUGAGAGAGACCUAAUGAGAGAGGAGCAGGCCGGGGCAACCAAUGAAAUCGGAGAAGAGCGCUUGGGGGCGUGUCCGCCUGCUUUCAGCCUUUGCUAAAAUCAGUCAUCUUCCUGCAAAGGCAUGAGGAGGAAAAGAGAGGCAGUAACUGAGCGAUAAUAUGCUGUAUGAGCCUCCUGCUCUGCUGCCCAUUACCUGCGUCACCUCCACAAGCUACUGAACCUCAAGGAA